rnacentral:rRNA from 1 species
GAUGAACGCUGGCGGCGUGCCUAAUACAUGCAAGUCGAGCGAACAGACGAGGAGCUUGCUCCUCUGACGUUAGCGGCGGACCGGUGAGUAACACGUGGAUAACCUACCUAUAAGACUGGGAUAACUUCGGGAAACCGGAGCUAAUACCGCAUAACAUAUUGAACCGCAUGGUUUAAUUUUGAAAGACGCUUUUGCUGCCAUCUAUAGUUGGACCCGCGCCGUAUUAGCUAGUUGGUAAGUUAACGCACUACCAAGACAACGAUGCGAAGCCGACCUGAGAGGGUCGUCGGCCACGCUGGAACUGAGACACGGUCCAGACUCCUACGGGAGGCAGCAGUGGGGAAUCUUCCGCAAUGGGCAAAAGGCUGACGGAGCGACGCCGCGUGGGUGAUGAAGGUCGGCGGAUCGUAAAACUCUGUUAUUAGGGAAGGACAGAUGUGUAAGUAACUAUGCACGUCUUGACGGUACCUAAACAGAGAGCCGCGGCUAAAUGCG